GGGGAUGACCGGUUUUGACAGCGUGUAGAAGUGGUACGUAAGCAUGCAGAGCGAUGAUGCCCACGCUCUUUAAUCAGAGACAUCAAAAAUUUAAAUGGCGAAAAUAACUACGCUCUUGCUGCCUAAUCGAAGUACAGUAGAUUGCGCUUAAUCUCCACAACAGUUGCAGAGACAAGACAUCGCCCGAUUGUCGUCGUCCCGAGACUAAUCGACAAGGCGGUGCAGGUAAAUCGG
rnacentral:tmRNA from 1 species